rnacentral:rRNA from 1 species
AACGAACGCUGGCGGCAUGCCUAACACAUGCAAGUCGAACGAAGGCUUCGGCCUUAGUGGCGCACGGGUGCGUAACGCGUGGGAAUCUGCCCUCAGGUACGGAAUAACUCAGGGAAACUUGAGCUAAUACCGUAUAAUGACUUCGGUCCAAAGAUUUAUCGCCUGGGGAUGAGCCCGCGUCGGAUUAGCUAGUUGGUAGAGUAAAAGCCUACCAAGGCGACGAUCCGUAGCUGGUCUGAGAGGAUGAUCAGCCACACUGGGACUGAGACACGGCCCAGACUCCUACGGGAGGCAGCAGUGGGGAAUAUUGGACAAUGGGCGCAAGCCUGAUCCAGCAAUGCCGCGUGAGUGAUGAAGGCCCUAGGGUUGUAAAGCUCUUUUACCCGGGAAGAUAAUGACUGUACCGGGAGAAUAAGCCCCGGCUAACUCCGUGCCAGCAGCCGCGGUAACAC